UUAUUUAAGAGUUUGAUCCUGGCUCAGGAUGAACGCUGGCGGCGUGCCUAACACAUGCAAGUCGAGCGAGA
rnacentral:rRNA from 1 species